rnacentral:sRNA from 1 species
AAACUCCGGCAAUCCGAUAUAAGGGAGGU